UUAGAGUUUGAUCCUGGCUCAGGAUGAAUGCUAGCGGCAGGCUUAACACAUGCAAGUCGAGGGGCAGCGUGGGGUAGCAAUACCCCGACGGCGACCGGCGCACGGGUGAGUAACGCGUAUGCAACCUUUCCUUGACAGGGGAAUAGCCCAGGGAAACUUGGAUUAAGUCCCCAUAGUUCCGCGGGGGGGCAUCUUCUUGCGGAUAAAGUUCCGGCGGUCAAGGGUGGGCAUGCGUGCCAUUAGGCAGUUGGUGGGGUAACGGCCCACCAAACCGACGAUGGCUACGGGGUCUAAAAGGAUGGUCCCGCACAUUGGAACUGAGACACGGUCCAAACUCCUACGGGAGGCAGCAGUGAGGAAUAUUGGUCAAUGGGGGGAACCCUGAACCAGCCAUGCCGCGUGAAGGAAGACGGCCCUAUGGGUUGUAAACUUCUUUUGUACGGGAAUAACGUUGGCCACGCGUGGCCAUGAGAAGGUACCGUAUGAAUAAGCAUCGGCUAACUCCGUGCCAGCAGCCGCGGUAAUACGGAGGAUGCAGGCGUUAUCCGGAUUUAUUAGGUUUAAAGGGUGCGUAGGCGGCCAGGUAAGUCAGCGUUGAAAGUCUGCGGCUCAACCGUAGAAUUGGCAUUGAUACUGUUUGGCUAGGAUGUGGCGGAAGUAGGCGGAAUGUGCAGUGUAGCGGUGAAAUGCUUAGAUAUUGUACAGAACACCAAUUGCGAAGGCAGCUUACUAUACCAUGAUUGACGCUGAGGCACGAAAGCGUGGGGAUCGAACAGGAUUAGAUACCCUGGUAGUCCACGCAGUAAAACGAUGAUUACUAGUUGUUCGCGAUAGACAGUGAGCGACUUAGCGAAAGCGAUAAGUAAUCCACCUGGGGAGUACGUUCGCAAGAAUGAAACUCAAAGGAAUUGACGGGGGCCCGCACAAGCGGAGGAACAUGUGGUUUAAUUCGAUGAUACGCGAGGAACCUUACCUGGGCUUAAAUGUAGACUGCAUGCGGUGGAAACACUGCUUCCCUUCGGGGCUGUCUACAAGGUGCUGCAUGGUUGUCGUCAGCUCGUGCCGUGAGGUGUCGGGUUAAGUCCCAUAACGAGCGCAACCCCUAUCGUCAGUUGCCAGCAGGUAAGGCUGGGGACUCUGGCGAGACUGCCGGUGUAAACCGAGAGGAAGGCGGGGAUGACGUCAAAUCAGCACGGCCCUUAUGUCCAGGGCUACACACGUGUUACAAUGGCCGGUACAAAGGGGAGCUACCUGGUGACAGGAUGCAAAUCUCGAAAGCCGGUCCCAGUUCGGAUUGGAGUCUGCAACCCGACUGCAUGAAGUUGGAUUCGCUAGUAAUCGUAUAUCAGCCAUGAUACGGUGAAUACGUUCCCGGGCCUUGUACACACCGCCGGUCAAG
rnacentral:rRNA from 1 species